rnacentral:ncRNA from 1 species
AUUAAGACUAUGAAGGAUGAAAGUAGUUAUAUAAUAAAGACUGAAGAGAGCCGGUGGGUGGUGUAAACCGGUGUCUUAUGUAUAAUGAAGUACCCUCCGGAGUUGCAAACCGAAGUAACAGUAGGCUUUGACGGAUUCUUUCACCGUUAAAAGAAAGGAGAUAUCAGGUAAUUCCUCGUAUCUUAAUAAGCAGGGCUUUUAUUAGCCAAUUUGGGUGGUACCGCGAGAUAACCUCUCGUCCCUUUA